UGAUAGGUCGCAAUUAACGUAAUGAUGAUAACAAUGAUAGGUCGCAAUUAACGUAAUGAUGAUAACAAUGAUAGGUCGCAAUUAACGUAAUGAUGAUAACAAUGAUAGGUCGUAAUUAACGUAUUGGAUAAUAACAAUGCUAGGUCUUAAUAGACGUUAUUGGAUAAUAACAAUGCUAGGUCGUAAUAGACGUUAUUGGAUAAUAACAAUGCUAGGUCGUAAUAGACGUUAUUGGAUAAUAACAAUGCUAGGUCGUAAUUAACGUAUUGGAUAAUAACAAUGCUAGGUCGUAAUAAACGGUAUUAGAUAAUAACAAUGCUAGGUCGUAAUUAACGUAUUGGAUAAUAACAAUGAUAGGUCGCAAUUAACGUAUUGGAUAAUAACAAUGCUAGGUCGCAAUUAAUGUAUUGGAUAAUAACAAUGCUAGGUCGCAAUUAAUGUAUUGGAUAAUAACAAUGCUAGGUCGUAAUAGACGUUAUUGGAUAAUAACAAUGCUAGGUCGUAAUAGACGUUAUUGGAUAAUAACAAUGCUAGGUCGCAAUUAAUGUAUUGGAUAAUAACAAUGCUAGGUCGCAAUUAAUGUAUUGGAUAAUAACAAUGCUAGGUCGCAAUUAAUGUAUUGGAUAAUAACAAUGCUAGGUCGCAAUUAAUGUAUUGGAUAAUAACAAUGCUAGGUCGUAAU